AUGAUUGCCUACUUCUCUGAUAGAGUUCAGUGUGUCAAAUCGGAGGGUCUGCUGUCCGGACCUCUGGCAGUCUCUAUGGGGGUGCCACAGGGUUCAAUUCUUGGACCAACUCUCUUCUCUGUAUACAUCAAUGAUGUCGCUCUUGCUGCUGUUGAGUCUCUGAUCCACCUCUACACAGACGACACCAUUCUGUAUACUUCUGGCCCUUCUUUGGACACUGUGAUAACAACCCUCCAGGCAAGCUUCAAUGCCAUACAACUCUCCUUCUGUGGCCUCCAAUUGCUUUUAAAUACAAGUAAAACUAAAUGCAUGCUCUUCAACCGAUCGCUGCCUGCACCUGCCCGCCUGUCCAACAUCACUACUCUGGACGGCUCUGACUCAGAAUACGUGGACAACUACAAAUACCUAGGUGUCUGGUUAAACUGUAAACUCUCCUUCCAGACCCACAUCAAACAUCUCCAAUCCAAAGUUAAAUCUAUAAUUGGCUUCCUAUUUCGCAACAAAGCAUCCUUCACUCAUGCUGCCAAACAUACCCUUGUAAAACUGACCAUCCUACCAAUCCUCGACUUCGGCGAUAUCAUUUACAAAAUAGCCUCCAAUACCCUACUCAACAAAUUGGAUGCAGUCUAUCACAGUGCCAUCCGUUUUGUCACCAAAGCCCCAUAUACUACCCACCAUUGCGACCUGUGCGCUCUCGUUGGCUGGCACUCGCUUCAUACUCAUCGCCAAACCCACUGGCUCCAUGUCAUCUACAAGACCCUGCUAGGUAAAGUCCUCCCUUAUCUCAGCUCGCUGGUCACCAUAGCAUCACCCACCUGUAGCACGCACUCCAGCAGGUAUAUCUCUCUGGUCACCCCCAAAACCAAUUAUUUCUUUGGCCGCCUCUCUUUCCAGUUCUCUGAUGCCAAUGACUGGAAUGAACUACAAAAAUCUCUGAAACUGGAAACACUUAUCUCCCUCACUAGCUUUAAGCACCAGCUGUCAGAGCAGCUCACAGAUUACUGCACCUGUACAUAG
rnacentral:lncRNA from 13 species